AUUGAACGCUGGCGGCAUGCCUUACACAUGCAAGUCGAACGGUAACAGGUCUUCGGAUGCUGACGAGUGGCGAACGGGUGAGUAAUACAUCGGAACGUGCCUAGUAGUGGGGGAUAACUACUCGAAAGAGUGGCUAAUACCGCAUGAGAUCUACGGAUGAAAGCAGGGGAUCGCAAGACCUUGUGCUACUAGAGCGGCCGAUGGCAGAUUAGGUAGUUGGUGGGAUAAAAGCUUACCAAGCCGACGAUCUGUAGCUGUGCUGAGAGGACGAUCAGCCACACUGGGACUGAGAAACGGCCCAGACUCCUACGGGAGGCAGCAGUGGGGAAUUUUGGACAAUGGGCGCAAGCCUGAUCCAGCAAUGCCGCGUGCAGGAUGAAGGCCUUCGGGUUGUAAACUGCUUUUGUACGGAACGAAAAGCCCCGGGUUAAUACCCUGGGGUCAUGACGGUACCGUAAGAAUAAGCACCGGCUAACUACGUGCCAGCAGCCGCCGUAA
rnacentral:rRNA from 1 species